rnacentral:misc_RNA from 1 species
GAUGAAGAACGUAGCGAAAUGCGAUAAGUAAUGUGAAUUGCACAAUUCAGUGAAUCAUCGAAUCUUUGAACGCACCUUGCGCUCUUUGGUAUUCCGAAGAGCAUGCCUGUUUGAGUGUCAUGAAAAUAUCAACCUUGACUUGGGUUUUGUGCUCUAGUCUCGGCUUGGAAUUGGGUGCUUGCCGCUUUUACGAGCGGCUCACCUUAAAUGUAUUAGCUGGAUCUGUCUUUGAGACUUGGUUUGACUUGGCGUAAUAAGUAUUUCGCUAAGGACAUUCUUCGGAGUGGCCUCGUUUCUAGGACGCUUGUCCGCUUUCCAAUACAAGUUCCACCUCGUGGACAUGACUUUUUAUUAUCUGGCCUCAAAUCAGGUAGGACUACCCGCUGAACUUAAGCAUAUCAAUAAGCGGAGGA